UACGAAGGGGGCUAGCGUUGCUCGGAAUCACUGGGCGUAAAGGGUGCGUAGGCGGGUCUUUAAGUCAGGGGUGAAAUCCUGGAGCUCAACUCCAGAACUGCCUUUGAUACUGAAGAUCUUGAGUUCGGGAGAGGUGAGUGGAACUGCGAGUGUAGAGGUGAAAUUCGUAGAUAUUGGGAAGAACACCAGUGGCGAAGGCGGCUCUCUGGCCCGGACCUGACGCUGAGGCGCGAAAGCGUGGGGAGCAAACAGG
rnacentral:rRNA from 1 species